AUGGAAGGAGACGGCAACGAGAUCUCGCGCCUGCCGGAGGAGCUCCUCGCGUCGAUCAUCUCCCUCACGUCGCCGCCUGACGCCGGACGCUGUGCCGCCGUCUCCCGGGCCUUCCUCGCCGCCGCGGACUCUGACGCCGUCUGGUCCUCCUUCCUGCCCCGCGACCUCCCACGGUUCGCUCAAGGCGUGCUCCGCCGCGCGCCGCCGUCCAAGAAGGGAUUGUUCAGAUGCCUCUCCGAUCAACCGGCGCUCCUCCCAGGCAACUUCGUGAGCAUGUGGCUGGACCGGGCUACGGGCGCCAAGUGCUACAUGCUCUCGGCGAGAUCCCUGCAUAUUUCGUGGGGCGAGACAAGACAAUACUGGGAGUGGAUCAAGCUCCGUUCUGACAGCUUCGGUGAAGCAGCUCAACUUCGGGGAGUUUGGUGGCUGUUAAUCCGUGGCGAAAUACAUAGCACAAUGCUCAGCCCAAACUCCAAGUACGCUGCUUACAUGGUGUUCAAGCUAGCCGAUGUGUUCUUCAAUCUCGAUUUCCCGUUUCAAGAGGCAUCAAUCAGUGUUGGAGGGAAUGACUCAACACGCCAAGUUUGCCUCCAAGCCUGCGUGGAGGAUGGGGAUGGGGAUGACGGGGUACCUCGCAAACAUAUCUUGAGGGCAAUUGCAAGCUGGGAAAACCAGCAGCUGCCUCGUGCGAGCUAUCAUGCAAUUCCUCUCACAGAUGAUGUUAUGCUCCCUCGAAAAAGGGCUGACAGCUGGAUGGAGGUCGAGCUUGGCGAGUUCUACAAUGGACAAGGCUGCGAUAGCGAGGUGUCUGUGUGCCUAAAGGAAACAGAAGGAGGAGUUUACAAGGCUGGUCUUAUUGUGUGGGGUAUUGAGAUUAGAACUAAGCGAUGA
rnacentral:rRNA from 1 species